UACGUAGGGACCGAGCGUUGUCCGGAAUCAUUGGGCGUAAAGGGUGCGUAGGCGGGUCUUUAAGUCAGGGGUGAAAUCCUGGAGCUCAACUCCAGAACUGCCUUUGAUACUGAGGAUCUUGAGUUCGGGAGAGGUGAGUGGAACUGCGAGUGUAGAGGUGAAAUUCGUAGAUAUUCGCAAGAACACCAGUGGCGAAGGCGGCUCACUGGCCCGAUACUGACGCUGAGGCACGAAAGCGUGGGGAGCAAACAGG
rnacentral:rRNA from 1 species